UUUUCCGGUUUGAAUCAGAUCAUGUGCGGGUAAAAGGUCGAACAGACCUAUGGAGAACAAUUUCUACUCUGAUCACACACCGCAAUUCAACAUCGAGGUCGCAAACUAUUAUUUUAAUAAGAUCUUUAAUAACAAUAACGCUGUUAUCCCUAGAGUACCUAUUUCAUUUUAUUUUAUAAAGAUCUAUUUAAAUUAAUAAUACUAAUAUUAUUACUUACC
rnacentral:rRNA from 1 species